rnacentral:rRNA from 1 species
UACGUAGGGCGCAAGCGUUGUCCGGAAUUAUUGGGCGUAAAGAGCUCGUAGGCGGCUUGUCACGUCGGGUGUGAAAGCCCGGGGCUUAACCCCGGGUCUGCAUUCGAUACGGGCAGGCUAGAGUGUGGUAGGGGAGAUCGGAAUUCCUGGUGUAGCGGUGAAAUGCGCAGAUAUCAGGAGGAACACCGGUGGCGAAGGCGGAUCUCUGGGCCAUUACUGACGCUGAGGAGCGGAAGCGUUGGGAGCGAACAGG